rnacentral:rRNA from 1 species
GAUGAACGCUAGCGGCAGGCCUAAUACAUGCAAGUCGAGGGGUAUGGGUUGCUUGCAACCCAGAGACCGGCGCACGGGUGCGUAACGCGUAUGCAAUCUACCUUAAUCAGGGGGAUAGCCCGGAGAAAUCCGGAUUAACACCGCAUAACAUUGAGUUGUGGCAUCACAGUUCAAUCAAAUAUUUAUAGGAUUAAGAUGAGCAUGCGUGACAUUAGUUAGUUGGUGAGGUAACGGCUCACCAAGACCACGAUGUCUAGGGGAUCUGAGAGGAUGACCCCCCACACUGGUACUGAGACACGGACCAGACUCCUACGGGAGGCAGCAGUAAGGAAUAUUGGUCAAUGGGCGCAAGCCUGAACCAGCCAUGCCGCGUGCAGGAAGACGGCCCUAUGGGUUGUAAACUGCUUUUGUACCGGAAUAAACCUUCUCUUGCGAGAGAAGCUGAACGUACGGUAAGAAUAAGAAUCGGCUAACUCCGUG